GGCAUACUGACAUACACACACACACUGACACACAGAGACAAACCUACUGACACACAUGCUACAUUUAGCCACCCUGCAGGUUCUUACCUUUUUCUGGAGGUUGGUUUCCUUGGGGUCCAGUGGCAGGCUGAGGUAGUUAGGAGUUAUCUUCUGGAACUCUGCUCCUCCUUGCCUUCCUCCUCCUGCGCAUCUCCGUUGGGAGGAAGUGACGCGCGGCACUCACUACCUCCCAGUCAUCUGCCGAACAGGAAGGGGCCUGGUCGCGCUGUUUAAGCGCCACAGCGCCUGACCGGGCCACUGCUGAC